rnacentral:rRNA from 1 species
UGCCGUUCCGACCUCGUUUGAUACGGUUAUGGUUAACCACACGGCCCCUCGGGCCCGACCCGAGCCCAGUCAACGUUUUGACCCGAUCAAAUCGGCCCGUGACCCGAAACGACCCUACUUGGGCCCUACAACAGCCACGUAAAGUUUCGGGAUGAUCCGACGUUCUUUCAUGGGGUUAAGGACAAUCCACGCCAAACAAGCGUCACGGGCCGACCGAGCCGGGCCAACGGGCCCUCGGGACCCGAAAACUGAAUUUUUUUUCAUCCAAACCCAUUAAAACACGUUACCGAGGUCUCACGCAAAAUUUCAUGCCAAUCCGACGUCGUUUGAUGGGGUUUUGAAAAAUUAUGAUUCCUCAAAAAUUUAAUGUCUGUUCCUGUCACUUAGCUUUUUGUGCAAAAUGUAUAUAUAGGGGAGGGGUGGGUGUUGAGCAGCCCAUGCCCGGGCAAGGCAUGCCAGCGCCCAAGCCAAAGGAGGCUGGUGGCGUGCGUAUAACAGCUCAAAUGCCCCAACGAUGACCAAGAACAAGCGCCCAUCUCCCCUCAUUCCCCCCCACCAAGCGCCCCUCCCCCCCCAUGUUGCCUGCCCACUCGCACAGCUACUCGUGAUUUCAUGCCCAGCGACUAGUGAAUGUGCCUCGACGACCAGCAAACCUCGAAAAUUAUGAUUCCUCGUAAAAUUAAUGUCUGUUCCUGUCACUUUACUUUUUGUGCAAAAUGUAUAUAUAGGGGAGACCAGGGGCUUGAGCAACCCCUGUGCCCAAGCAAGGGUCAGAUGGAAGCACACGAGACGCGAGGUUUAAAGCCUAUACAAGCAAGGCGUCUGUCUCCCCAAGCCCCAUUGCCUAUAAAACAAGCCCGAUGCCUUGUAAAUGCCCCACACGAUGCCUAUAAACGACAACGAUGUUUGCUAGUUAAUCGAUCGACGCCCCACACCUUGCAGCAUGUUGCCUAGUAAACAAGCCAUGCUGCCUUGGAAGCGCCCCACAUCAUGGCAUGUUGCCUAGCACGCUGCCCUUGUUUCCCGCACGACGACCUGAAAGCGUGGCCUGACGACGUGCUUGCCUUCGAAAAUUAUGAUUCCUCAAAAAAUUAAUGUCUGUUCCUGUCACUUUACUUUUUGU